AGCAGCCGCGGUAAUUCCAGCUCCAAUAGCGUAUAUUAAAGUUGUUGCAGUUAAAAAGCUCGUAGUUGAAUUUCGGGAUUGACACAUCGGUCGUGCCUUAAGGGGUAUGAACUGGUGUAGUCAAUUUCUCACCUUCUGGAGAACCGCGAUGCCCUUAAUUGGGUGUCGCGGGGAACCAGGACCUUUACUUUGAAAAAAUUAGAGUGUUUAAAGCAGGCAUUUUGCUUGAAUACAUUAGCAUGGAAUAAUAAAAUAGGACGGCAUGAUUCUAUUUUGUUGGUUUCUAGGAUCACCGUAAUGAUUAAUAGGGAUAGUUGGGGGCAUUAGUAUUCAAUUGUCAGAGGUGAAAUUCUUGGAUUUAUUGAAGACUAACUACUGCGAAAGCAUUUGCCAAGGAUGUUUUCAUUAAUCAAGAACGAAAGUUAGGGGAUCGAAGACGAUCAGAUACCGUCGUAGUCUUAACCAUAAACUAUGCCGACUAGGAAUCAGACGGUGUUAAUUUUUUAAUGACUCGUUUGGC
rnacentral:misc_RNA from 1 species